ensembl:lncRNA
AAAUGUGUUUGUGGCAGGUUUAAUGAGAGCUGACAGACAAGUGCAAGCUGCUCCAUUCAGUUCUUAAGAUCACAUCAGUUUAUGUGUGGAUGCAGAAGUUUCUGUUCCUGACUUUAGGGUGGAGGAUUGUUAAAAUUUCUUGUAAGGAGACCAUGCACUGUGCAGCAUUAGAAGAACGAAUACUCUGCAAGGCAACCUGCUGUGUGUGCACCUAAGAAUGCACUAAUCUGCACAUGGACUUUCAUUUCCACAUGGUGUUAUUUUAUUCAUAUGCCAGGCAUAUUCCACUAUAAUCAAAUAAUAUUGAGACUUUAACUGCCAUCUUGUUGCAGAAUCAGUAAUAUUGCAUAGUCCAAAUGAACCCCAGAAGCCUGGAUGGCCUAAACAACUGUGUACGAUUGUUUGGAGGACACAGGCAUCAUGUUGCUAGACAUCAAUGUUGUUAUGGUUAAGUGCUGAAGGAUGGUUAAAUGACAUGACCCCUAUAAAGGACAGUGUUGCACUGCCUGCUUCCAACUCUUGACUAGAAAUUAGUGACACUUAUGACUAAAGCUGGUCGUAAACUAUACAGAAAUGCCUUUGAUUCUGGAAAGGCUUUAAAAGUGCAGUGAGUGAUUUUAGCAGAAGCUAGCUGUUUCAAAAUUUUAAAUCCAAACAUCCAUCUAAUGUCUAUCCAACACAGAUACCCAAAGCACAUGCACCUCCUAGAUUACAAUGCCUGGUGCAAGAAGGAGAGCGUUCAACCUGAUUGACAAACAGCUAGAGCUGCUCUAAAUGUUCUGACUGGUUGGAUAUUGGAGACUAAUGAUGAAAAUAUAUAGUAAAGUGUUGCCAUAAAAUGUGCAUGUUGACAUAUUGACAGCUUCUUCUAGCCCUACAGAGGUGGCUCAAUAAACUAGCACAAGAAAGUGGUCACGGUGACCUUUCUUUAUUUAAUGAUUCAUGAUUCAUCAUUCAUUUAAAUGAUGGCUUCAGUCAACCUGCCAAAUGUGCUUGCUGACAUGAUCAUAGGAUCAGUGUGACUGAAUACAGGAGCCAGGUUAGUACAGACUAACCCAUGAACAGUGAGUGACCAGUCAUAAUGGGUAAGCUUCGCUCAUACUCCCAAACAUUAGAUGAGGAAUGCAUGCUUUAGCAUUCCUGUGUAGCACCGUCACUACAUUUCAGGCAUAGCUCCC